rnacentral:rRNA from 1 species
CCUACGGGCGGCAGCAGUGGGGAAUAUUGGACAAUGGGGGCAACCCUGAUCCAGCCAUGCCGCGUGUGUGAAGAAGGCCCUCGGGUUGUAAAGCACUUUCAGUGAGGAAGAACGCCUGGUGGUUAAUACCCAUCGGGAAAGACAUCACUCACAGAAGAAGCACCGGCUAACUCCGUGCCAGCAGCCGCGGUAAUACGGAGGGUGCGAGCGUUAAUCGGAAUUACUGGGCGUAAAGCGCGCGUAGGUGGCUUGAUAAGCCGGUUGUGAAAGCCCCGGGCUCAACCUGGGAACGGCAUCCGGAACUGUCAAGCUAGAGUGCAGGAGAGGAAGGUAGAAUUCCCGGUGUAGCGGUGAAAUGCGUAGAGAUCGGGAGGAAUACCAGUGGCGAAGGCGGCCUUCUGGACUGACACUGACACUGAGGUGCGAAAGCGUGGGUAGCAAACAGGAUUAGAUACCCCAGUAGUC